AUUGUCUUAAUCUACUGUAACAAAUACCACAGACUUAAACAAUAAACAAGUUAUUUCUCACAGUCUGGAGGCUGAGAAGUCCAAGAUCAAAGUGCCAGCAGAUUCUGUGGCUGGUGAGGACCUGCUUCCUGGAUCACAGAUGAUCAUCUUCUUGGAUCCUCACACAAUAGAAAGAAAACUACCUAGCUCUCUGGCCUCUUCUUCCAAAGGUGAGAAUUACCUCCAACUGGAGAAUGUGCUGCCCUCUAAGAGAAAGCCUGUCAGAAGUUUGUCAUACUGACUCCUUCCUCUAGGAUGGUGUCUCUCCAACUUCAUCCAGAGGGAGACAAUUGGAGAAAGAGAUGUGAGGAUGGAAGCAGUGUCAGAAAGAUGCUUCCUUGCUGGCUUUGAAGAUGAAAGGGGGCCCCAAGCCAAGGAAUGUGUGCAGCCUCUAGAAGCUGGAAGAAGCUGGAAACAGAUUCCCCACUAGUACCUUCAGGAGGAAUACAAGCCUGCCAACCCCUUGAUUUUAGCCCAGUGGGACCUGCAUCAGACUUUUAAAAUACAGAACCAUAAGAUAAUAAGUUUGUGUUGUUUUAAGCCACCAAGUUUGUGAUAAUUUGUUACAACAGCAAUGGGAAUCUAAUACACUAACCUAUCUUCUAAGAACAGGGAUUGGCCCAUGAAUGGACUUGAGAUCCAGGGGCCAAACAAGAAUCUUUCCUGAAUUAGUAUCUGGCCACUGGAAAGGGAACUCCCUCCCCUGCUGAGGUUGUCAGCUGGAGG